GAAAGGGUCAUUUUCUAAACAUGCAACACAAUAUCUCUCAAAAUCUAUAAAUCCACAAGAUCUGACUUAACAUCAUAAACGGAGUAGUACAGAACAAGUUGCAAGACGCAGGAUAUCGAUAGCUUGGUAUUGUUCCAUCCUUGAACGAGCAUGGAAUUACAGCCUCCUUCCUCUUCUACCACCCUUCCGGCGGGUGCUGUCAGUGGGGACCGGGGUAACAUCCUCUGCUCAACGCAAAAAAAAACAUCAUGGAUUAAUCCGCUGUAUGAUAUCAUAAACUAAACUGGAAAAUGUAAAAGGUUGAAAUCACGAUAACUGGCAUCCAAGGCAAAACUAAAUCAACAUUGAUCAUAACAUAAACAUAGUAUGAACAGGAAGGACAAGCAAAACAUAAGUACAUAUAAAAACCAAGCCAGCAUGUGACCAGACAAAUUCAAGAACUAUUGACUACCAGACAAAAUUAAGACAAGCCUUGCAAAUGCAAUGAAUGGCAGAAUAGUUUUUUCCCAGAAGCUAAUGAGAUGAAAUGGCACAGACACAGCAUACACAAGGGCAUCACAAGCUUACCAAUGCGUCCAAUCUUCAUGCCAGAACGUGCAAGAGCUCUAAGCGCAGCUUGAGCACCAGGACCUGGAGUUUUUGUCUUGUUUCCACCAGUAGCACGGAGCUUAAUGUGCAGAGCAGUAAUUCCAAGCUCCUAAACAGGGGGGGAGGAUCACCAUAUGUAUCAGUGGAUUCAUCAAAUUUGGCUACCACCAUACUUGAUCAUGCAACAAAUCAACUUUUUUGGUACCUUACAUCUUACAGCAACAUCCUGAGAUGCAAGCAUAGCUGCAUAAGGGGAUGAUUCAUCACGAUCAGCUUUGACCUUCAUGCCACCUGAAAAUGCAAUUCUUUAGUACAUCACAAAUUUGUAAGACGUAAAAAAGAAACUGAUAGAUGUUGAGCAUCACAGAAGAACCGACAGUCAAUCACUGUUUAGUGCCAUGGCAGAUGCAAGUUAUAGCUAAACAGGUAUAAUAGCCAAGAAUAACCAUUCAAGCCUUGGUGAACUGAGUUCACUUCUUCAACCACCAAAUAGGAGACCACACAUAGAAUAUUCUACUACUAAUAUGUUAUAUUCAAAAAGACUUCUGAAAUGUUCUGAAGAUAUUGUACAGCCAAUAUCUAAAAUCUUCAAAUGUAACUCAGAAGUACUAACAAACAAAAGCAUGUUCUUCCAACAUUUAGGCGUCCCCAUUUUAAUUGACAAAGAGUUGCAAGGGUGUAGAAGUCAGCAGAAGCAAGACAGAGAACAUCUGCUUCAUACCGACCAUACAUCACAAGAAACUGAAUGGCAAGAUGAGUACACCUAUAAAUCAAAUUGGAAGUUGAGUUCCAGAGAAAAACUCUCUAGAGCCUCAUAUGAAUCUUGCACAGCAAUGACUCGACACGCUCCCACAGAACAAAAGGGAGGCAAUCUUAAGGGCGGUGCUUACAAAAGGUUGAUAGGAUCAAAAAUGAAACUCAAUAGGGAAGACAGCAUCAUGAUCAGAAGAGGAGGUUCAUAAGAAGUAAGCAAGACAAAUAUUGCUCAACAAUCUCGCUCAAGUUUAACCUAGGAUAACCUCACAUAUGAACCAACAAUUUUCACAUAAAUAGAAAACGCCCAGAUCCCAAACUGGAUAGUCAAAUAGUGAACGGAUAAGGAGAUUUGGCUCACAUACCCUAUUGAGUUUCUGCAUGAAUCAAUUCCAUUAAAUAAAAAGGUGGGCAUUACGUCAUACUGACAAACAAAAUACCAAUACUACCUACCAAACAAGAAUGUUGGUUCAGUGAAAUGUUUUUUCAAAGAACCAACCAUCGUGCUGAUUUUUUACAUACAACUACAGGAGUGCCAAUAUGCACUUGGUUCGGUGAAAUAUAGUCACAUCAAGCAUGUUCACUUCCAGAAUUUAGGCAGCUCCAUCUAAUGUUGCAAAGAGUUGCAGGAGUGAAGAACACAGCAUGAGCAGUGCAUAAAGCAGCUGCUGCCUGCUGGCUACAUACACUACAAGAAACCCAAUGAAAUGAUGUAAACAGCUAGAACUAAAACAGGAAGAGAAGAAGUUCCAGAGAAAAACUCGCCGGAUCCUCGUUUUCAAUCUUGCAUGGCUAUGACUCGACACGCUCCCACGGAUAAAAAGGGAGGGGAUCUUAAGGGCCGUGCUUACAAAGCAAUCUAAAAACCUCCAAGGUGAUACCAAAUCAUGAAACUUGACUAUAUGCUGUUCCAAACGAACAUAUCUCUAUCAGUACGAGACGAUGCUUAUUAGAAACAAACCACCAUCAUUUAUACAUCAGCCACCACGCCUUGCUCGUAAAGGGGAGUAUAAGAAGAGAUGUGAUUACCGGUGAUGCGGACGAGCGUCUCCCUCCCGGACAGAUCCGUGACAUGCUGCGACAGCGAAGCCAGAUGUGGCAAGAGUUUCAGGUCCGCGGUGUAAACAGAAAAGCAGCAAGAAAGGCGGCGUGUCCUUGGGAUCUUACGAUGAAGGUGUCGUUGAAGGAGGCGAAGAUGUGCGCGACGCCGAAGACGUGCUCCCCCUCGCGGACGGCGGGGCCGAGCGUCACGUUCUCCUCCUUGGGCUCGCGGGUCUUCUUCCUCCCUGACUGCACGAACAGACACAGCACCGGACGAUGCCCAGAUGGAUAAGCACAAGAACCAAGUCUACAGCGAGUUGACGGGGAAGGAACGAGCGACAAGGCGUUACCAUGGCGGCGGCGGCGGCGGCGAGAGGAGGAGGAGGCUAGGGUUUGGAGUGGACGAGAAGAUGAGCUGCGGUGGGGAAGUGCAGGAGUGGGCAAAGAUAAAGCCUCCCGAGAGUGGGCCGUGCCCGGGUUUGGAUGCGUGGGUCGCCUGGUUAUACGGGCUGCAUUUUGCGCUGAGCUCUCUAGACCAUACUGGGCUUGCAUGACUCAGUAUUGGGCUAAGGGUGCGUUUUUGUGUGUACCGCAACCCGGGUGUCCACUCAUCAUGUGACCAGACGUUUCUUUUUUUAGGGUUAAAGCACAGCUUUAUUACGGUAACGAGUUAGGCAAGUCGCCUAAAACAAACCAACAUAUAGCUUUAUUAAGGCGAUGAGGGUUUACCUACUCCGCCGGCCCAGGCCGACGUUUCCUUACCGGUGCCCUCCCCGGACGGUUUCUCAAGGCGCAGUCCCUAGGGUUUCCUAGCCCCGGUAUUUGCUGCGACAGAACUCAGGGGCAGAUUGCAUCGGUUCUUUGGCCCUGUUCAUCAUGGGAGAUGCCAUGGAGGCCCCAAGUGGUGGCAGAAACUCAUCUCGAUGGGGAAGGAGCAGAGGAUGUGGAGGUACGACAGGCCGGGGCCUUGUCCCGGGUCAUGAGCGUGGCGAUGGGGAAGGGAUUGGACAGAAGGGACGUGAUGUUGAUUCUGGAGGAGGAAUAGCUGGUGGUUCGGUGCCACCAUCCCCUCCUGGAUAUUUGUCACGGUGGGAGAGUAAGGAAACCAAGCACGGAGCCUCGUCGUCCAAGUCAAAGGCUGCUGAUAUGGAGAUCGAGAAGAAUUUGGCGGGCUCCGAGCUGGAGCGCCACCGGUCAUCAUGAAUAUCAUAAGUGGAACUAUUGCGGGAUUGGCAACGAUUCAACAGUUCGAGAGCUACGCACGCUAGUGCAACGAUUUGCCCCCUUCGUGCUCUGUGUGCAAGAAACUCGAGUUGGAGGGACUCAUGCUAGGAAUCUAGCCUUUUCUUUUAGCUUUAGUAGAAGCUAUACAGUGGAUAGUAAUGGUAGAAGUGGAGGUCUUGCUAUUUACAGGGAUGAUGAUUUGUCCCUUGAGUUCGUCACUGAACUCUCACGAGAUGAGCACAUUGGUCACUCAAGUCUCAAAAUGUGGAGAAUUGGUCAGUUUGGUUUGCUUUAUGAGCGAAUGUGUCACUUCCCUGUUGCGAGCCGUUACGGGGCCGACGUGGCUUGCUGACUCAGCGUAUGGCCCACUGUCAGGAUAAUUGUGAAGGUAUUUUUUGCAAAUUGUGCAUCCCCUCCCUGGUCAAAAUCCCCAAUUCAGCUCUCUCUCGAUCUCACCUUCGCCUCUCUCCAGAUCUGCCACAGCCGUCGCCGUUGUCGUCACCUCGCUCGAGAUGGACCAGUAUGAGGGAGAGAGCUGGCGGCCGGAGAACAGGGAGGGUAGUAUCUUCUUCCCGGCGGAGGGCUGGAGGCGCGGCGAGCCGGAGUUGCGGCCUGAGGUCGGUCGCUGUGUGCUGAGGCGCACGGCUGGGAUGUACCGGCUGGAGGAGAAGCUACGCGGUCGUGCCCUGGUGGGUACAGUGGAAGGGAACCGGCCUCCCGUGUCGCCGGCACAGGUGGUUGCUGCUUUGGAGGCGCAAUGCGGCAUCCGCCGCGACGACGUCAUGGUUGAGGUAUGUUCGCCUCCGGCGGAUUUUCUUGUACGGUUUCGGUCCGGCGACGACUGCACUCGCGUGCUCAUCUACCACUCCCGCAAGCUUACGGUCGGCGGCGAGACAAUCCAGUUUUGCCGGUGGCAUCGUGGGAUGGGUGGCGAGGAGUCGUCUAUGAAGUUUUUGACAAGGUUGAGCUUUGAUGGGCUCCCGCAAGAGGCUUGGGAGGUCGAGUUCGUUACCAACCUUGUUAACAGUCUCGGCGGCGAUCUCGUUAAGAUGUUGAAGCCCACUGAUCGGUGCUUCGUCGUUGUUGAAGCAUGGAUGAAGAACCCAAACAAAUUGCCUAAAUUAUAUGAAGUGGAGCUGCCAGAGCCUGAAUUACGACAAGAUUACCCAACCUCUGACUCUGACGUGCCAAUUUCACCGCCUACUAUAUAGUCGUCUGAAAGAUGAGAAGCCAACAGUUGUUCAUUUUCUGAAGAUCCAUGUUCUGAAAGUUAUAGAUCACAACCCUAUCUUAACAGAGUUGUCGCCUGCUUAUGACUAUGACGAAGAAUCGAACAGCGCUCGGUGUCACAAUUUCACAUGUCAUCCUGGUACAAUAGAUGGUGCAGAGAGGGCAUACAUUGGUGGUGGACAUGGUUUUGCAGGGCCAGGGUCCGAUGGCCGUGGAGGUGCUCCGUUCAGGAUGUAGAUGAGACAGAGAUGUUGCAUCUCUUUUAUUCAGCAAUGUAUAAUGUAUGUUUGUUGUGUGCCAAUGUGAGCAUAUGUCUGUAAGACUAUUGUAAGAGAUCUAUUUAUGAUGUGUGACUGAUGUGAGGAUGUUGCAUGAAAUUCAAUUGUUGUUGCACUACUAGUAUAUGCAAUUUAUUUGACAAGAGAUAUCUCAUUUAACAAAAGUACAGAACAGUACUAAAAGAAAGAGUUCAUUUUAGAACUACACAGAGCAGUACUAAAAUUCCUCAGUACUAAAAGAAAAAAUUCAUCCAAAAGGAUUAGUUGUGCCAAAAGUAACUACACAUGAUAGUACUAAAAGAACAAGUUCAUUUUGGAACUACAUCAAGUUCAUUUUGAAACUACUACAUUACUGAAUUACAGCAUGAUCUCAGUCUUGUGGUGCUGAUUGUGUAUUGUUGAUCUCCUCUUCAUAUGUUGGUCCUGUUCUACCUCUUCUUCCUCCCCUUCUUCCUCUUGUAGGUGCACCUCCUCCUCUCUGUCCAAACAGAAGAUACUGAAAUCCUCCAACACCUGCUGCAUUGUUGCUUGUGCCAGCUGUGUUUGCAUUCCUGUUAAUUGCACUAGCUGCAGCUCUAGCUUCUCUUCUUCUUCCUGACCUGUCCCUUGCUUGAGCUCUCAAAACCUGUGUUGUGACUGUUGAUGUCCUUGGUGGUGGAACGUUAGCUCUAUAUUGUGCAACAAAAGCUGAUUCACUAGGGAAUGGCUUUAUUUCUUCAAUGACAAUUUUUGGCGCCUGCAUUUUAUGAAUGACAUAACUCUGUUUUAUUGGAAGAACAAAAGAGAACAAGUUACAAGUACUUUAUUAUAAGAAUUUGGUCUUCACCUCAUGUGCUAGCUGAGAUAUCAUAGAUUCUUUCACAUUGCUAGGAUCUUUCCUAGGGUCUAGUUGUACAUGCUCAAUGUGCUGAUCAAAACAAUACAAAAUUAGUUAGUAGUGCCUAUACAAACUGGAAUUAUUUGUAAGUAUAGCUGCAUAUUACCUCUAGUAUCUCAGGAAUAUCAGCAUAUCCAUUUUCAUCAAUCAUUGUAGGGACUCUGUUUGGGUUUGGCAUGGAGGUUGGAAUGCCCACUUGCUCUUCCACAGUUCUUCUUCUCCUUCUCUUUGUUCUUUGUUGUUGUUGCUCCUGUGAGCUGUCCUCUGUUUGGGUUUGUGGUGCUUGUGCUGCUCCUGUUGCUGCUGCUUGUGUUGUUGCUGCUUCUGCCCUUGCAAUCUCUUUCAAUCUAGGGCAUCCUUUCUUGUUAUGGCCUGCAUUUCCACAAUAUCCACAAUGAAUAGUGACCCCAUGUUUGGUCAACUUUGUACCAUCCUCAUUUUCUUCAGGACCUUUUCUUCUUUUUUUGCUUGAGGGCCUGCCAACAACCUUCUCAUAAAAUGGAGGUUUUACUACUGGGCCAUUAACAUGCUCCCAUUCCGACUUAUCUCUAACUGGCUUCACCACAGGACCAUAAGCUUGCAUGAAAGCAUUCAAAGAAUAGCUACUACAUACCAUCUGUUCAGGCUUAAUCCUCUCAUGCCUACAACAAGCUAUUGCAUGGUUGCAUGGAAUGCCAGUUAGCUGCCAUCUUCUACAAGUGCAAGCUCUCAUGUUUAGCUCUACAAUGUAACUAACACCAUUGCUAAGAACUUUGAAAGUUGACCUUCCAUAUUCAGUAGCAAAGCAGUUUGCUGCAUAAUCUGCAUUUUUCUGAACUUUUUGUCUAAUCUUUGGGCAAAUCUGACCAGUCCACUUCUGUAGAGCAUCCUUUUGCAUUUUGUUAUAUCUUGUCCCUAUCUUGCAAGCAAUGUUCUCCAACAUAGACAGGACAUGUAGCUCUCUAGCUUCUAAUAUCCACCUAAUUAGUAGGCAGGUCCAUAAACAGAAGUAAGCAGUAGACAUUUAAUAAGCAAUAGUAAAGAGAAGAAGGUAAGAUAAUUACUUAUUGAAAACUUCACAAGAAUUGUUUGUAAGUAUGUCACAUUUGACAAAAUCACUGAAGAAAGCUCUGCAAUACUCAGAUGGCUUCUUUUCAUCUAACCAAGCAUGUGCUUCAGGACAAUCUGCCUUGAACCUGUCCAUGUUUUGCUGCCAUCUUGUAGUGUUGCUUGACCUUGCACAUGCCCACAAGUGAUUCUUUACUGUUUCUCCCUUGUGAAGCUGGUUCAGGUUCUGGUAGAGAUGUCUGACACAAAAUCUAUGUUCAGAGUCAGGGAACAAUUCUCUGACUGCUCUAAUCAAACCCUACAUCACAACAAACAACAGCUAUGUUAUGCUAAGACAGAAGAUACAGUAUUGUAAUCACAUACAUAUAAGGAAUUUUUUAAUUUUCACCACACCUUCUGCUUAUCACUCAUUAUAGAGAUAGUUGAUGUGUUAAUGAUGUUUAGGUCAUUUUUCAAAUUAGUAAGAAACCACUUCCAGCUGGCAUGGCACUCCACCUCUACGACAGCCAUUGCAAUUGGGUAGAUGCAGUCAUUGGGAUCUACUCCAAUUGCUGUCAAUAUCUGUCCACCAUAUUUGGUCCUUAUGUGUGUUCCAUCAAGACAAAUAAUGGGCCUACAACCAAGUAGCCAUCCUCUUUUACAAGCAUCCAGACAUAAGUACAAAGUGCUCAAUGUUUCACCCAUCCUUUUCAAGAAGAAAGUAGUGCCUGGGUUUGCUCUCCUUAGCUCAUGUCCAUAGUCCCAAAGCUGUCCAUAUUGGGCCUCUUCAUCUCCUCUUAUCUUUUUCAGACAUGACAACCUAGGUCUUGCCAACUUAAAUCUGUUUGGCUUCAUGUUGUACUAUUUCUGAACUUUGUUCUGAAAAGCUGUCAAACUCAUCUUUGGGUCAUCUCUGAAAUCUUCAACAAUUUUUCCAGCUAGCAAUGGAGCUGUCAACUCUUUCACUUCCCACACCCUCUCACAAGUAUGCUCUCCAACAUAUGUCUUUAUCAGCAUGCACUCAACUCUGGUAUCUUUAACAACAAUCAUUCUCCAAGGGCAGCCUUCAACAUAUUUUGCGUCACUUCUGGUAGCAUUGUUCCUUGUCUUCUUUAUUUUUACUCUGUUCUUCACUAUGUACAUGGACAAAGCAUUUCUUAAUUCUGUAGGGUUUGAAAAGACCAUGCCAAGUUUAAAUGUUGGGUCUUCCAUGUCUGUCAAUUUGUUGAAAGCUGGAAAAUCAAAUUUUGUCCCGUCUUCACUCUCUAGGAGCUCUAAUUUCUCUGUAUCAACAACAUCUGGAUCAUCACCAUUUGCAUCUUCUUUCACAACUUUCCUAGUUGCAGCUAUUAUGUCAUCUACGACAGAAGUGUCAACAUUUUCAUCAAACAAGGUGUCAUCUCCAGCUUCAAAAUCAUAGUCAGAAUCUGCAAAAUCUGGAUCAAUACUUGAGUCUGAUGCAUAGCCACACUCUUCUUCUGCACUCUCAUCACCAUAAUCUUCUUCUUGCAUAGCAGCAAAAUCUUCUUCUUGCAUAGCAGCAAAAUCUUCUUCUUCCAUAGCAGGAAAAUCUUCUUCUUCCAUAGCAGCAAAAUCUUCUUUUUGCACACCAGCUAAUUCUUCUCCUCUAACAGCAGCAAAUUCUUCUUCUUGCUGUACAACCUGAGGAAACAUAUUCUCCUUCCCUUUCUUUUCCAUGUAAAAUUAUUCUUUCACAAAAUUAGCACUCAAGUUCCUCCUAGCAGGUAUGGAUCUGUUAUUGUUGCACAAAUCUUGAUAUCCACCUGACAUCAUAUUGAACAUUUGCUCACUGAAUGUAGGCAUCAAUUUGCUAGCUGGUAUGUCCUCUGACUCAAUAUCUUUCUUGCAAGGACUUAUCACUCUAGGUAGCUCAACUGGUUGCAGAAGAACAUCAUCCCAAAGUUGUUUGUCCAGAACAUUAUCAUGAUCAACAUAAACAUGCAAAUUGUGGCCACCUCUUGCACAAGCUGAAUCUGCCAUAGAUUUUGCAUGCAUUUCUAAGUUCAUCUCCCUCAAACCAUCUACUACUGUUUUGCCCGGAUCCAACCAGUACACUGGAAAUCCCAUGGAUGGCAAAGCAUAUCCUAGUUGCUUGAUCAUCCAAUCCACAAGAGCACAGCAGAAUGUACCCUUGUCACAGCCAUCAAAAACAUCUACUGAUUCCUGCAUGUAAACACGGUUCGAUCCAACAACACAGAACCAUCCAUUGUGAUGUAUUACUAAGCUAAAUAAGUCACUACAAUCCCCUGCAUUGCAAAAAAAGUACAAAUUCAUCUGUUUACUGACAAAAAAUCCCCAAUUUUGAACCUAAAAUCAUCCACUUAUCUAACAAAAAAUCCCCAAUUUUGAACCUAAAAUCGUCCACUUAUCUCAAGAACCUAAAAAAAGCACAAACGAAGGGGAAGAGAAUCAGUGAGAAGAACUUACCAUACUCGGGUGCAUCAUCCCAAGGAAAUCGCCGUCGAGGAAGAAGCUCAGCACCAGCGCGACCACCGGCAUCAGCCACACCGAGAACGGCUUCACCACAAACACCGCCGCCGCCAGUACCCGCAGAUUCAUCGCCGUCAUCAGCCGCGGCGGCUACUGUAGGGGGGGCGGCUACCUCGCCAUCCUCUCCGCCGCCGCAACCUACGGAGGCAGCCAACGGGGUUGACAUUGCCGCCGACGGGCACCCAGCCGCCGUCAAGGUCGCAAGGUCGGGGUUUGGGGGUGGAGUGCGCUGGCGGGGGUCGGUACUGCAUAUGUUUUUUUUUUCUAGGGGUUUUCUUGCAAAUGUACACCGCUGACUCACAACGCCACGUGGGCUGCGCCAAUGACUCAAAAGAAGAGAGUGACCCGUUUGCUCAUAUAGCAAACCAAACUGACCCGUUUUCCACGUUUUGAGACUUGUGUGACCAAUAUGCUCAUCUCGCGAGAGUUCAGUGACGAAUGGCGUUUAUCUCUUCACUUUCUUAGUUGUAACCAAAGACAUUGUGGUUCUUUUUAAUAGAAAUAUGAGAGGGAGCUCUCUUUUUCAAAAAAAAAAGAGUGUAAAGUUGUGGUAGAUUGAAAAAGAAGACAAGGAACAUUGAAGGUCACAAAGUUACAUAAAUGUGCUCUCAAGCUUUGUCAAUCGUUUCGCGGUUUUGUUCUGAGCAUCCUAUAGUGAAAUCGUACAAAAACAUAGUUGUACAAAAAUGACUAAUCUCAAAUAUAAGGCAAAAGCCUCUAUUUAGAAGUUUUUUAUGCUUUUAAAUCAAAGUGAAAAAUUGAAGUUUAAGCUCAAACAAACAGGGCCUAAAUAGCCGUGUGAGUGAUCCACCAUAAGAUGUGAGAAUAUUAGACCAUUUAAAGCACUUUGGUCGGGGACACAUCCACUUAAAGCAGAUAAUCGAGUGGUUGCUUCAUUGUCGGGAUACCCAGGAAGAAGACUAUAUGAUCACGAUAUGAAAAAUAAUACGUAUGAGAAAUCAAAACACCAUUAGCUCUCUAACGUUGGCUACGAACAUCAUGUGAGAAUAGAGAUGGAGCCAGGUGAACACUUAUUCCACACAAGAGAACCUCCACCGUCAAGACAAUGUCGCUGAGACACAAAGCUAACAUAGAAAGACUUGAUCCACUCUGAAAGCAAAGAUUUGAGUUGUCCCCACUUGCUUAGCACACAGAAUCUUGAAUAAGCAAGAGAAAAUUUUCUCUAGCAAGAUAUAGGUCGAGCAGAGAUCCUAGCCAGACACGGACGAAGCUAGAUCAAUAGUUCUGGUGGCAACUCUACUCGGCCGGGUUCAUUUGUUACAAACGAAUUCAAUUUUUAAUCAAUCUAGUGAAAAAUUUGCCAAAUUCAUUAGGCUCAACUGACCCCACUGCUUAUGAAGGUUGCUCCGUCCAGCAGAGACUAAUCUGAAUCUGUCGAGUAUAGGGACGAACCAAUUGUCCUAUGGUGUCAGCUCUAUUGAGCUGGGUUCAUUUGUUACAAAUGAAUAGUAUUGUUUACAGGUUUAGUGAAGAGAUUGUUCAGUUCAUUGUAUUCAACUAACCUUACUGCAUAUGGCACCUCCGUCACCGUUAGAGAUGAGAAUAACAUCUUGAGUAAAAUUUGUUUCAAACCUUGAAGUUGGGUCAUCUAUUUUGAAACAGAGGGAGUAAAAAUCAGCACCCUACGAAUGGAUGAUAGUUCAAUAACUUUGUCAGACUUCCCCUCAUGCAAGUAACAUCCCAUAAGGCCAUAAUAGUCAAUAGUCAGGCACGGGUCACUAACCAGCGAGAACACGCCAAACUGCACGAUCAAAAGGACAACUGUGGAGCAAGGAGACGAACAGCGGUCGUUGGUGAAGAUAAAUUAGGGUUGAAGAGGGCUAAGGAUGUCACUGACGCGGGCGAGUGAUUCCCGUGGGUACUGCCAUGGCCCAUGGGAGCUAAUUGCAUGCAUCGAAGUAGACUAUCUUAUGGGCCACCCAUUUAGCAAAGCCACUCAACAAGCCCACAAACAAAAUGAGCUAGCAAGCGAACUGCAGGUUAGUUGACGCAGAAGCUACAACAGUGUGUCAAUUUUAGACACAUGAAACAAGCAACAACAAGACGCAAAAGUAAAAAUCCAUAGCAAAGAAAGGGUUAUAAUAGAUGGCAACCACUUGAUUCAAAAGAGGGGAAAGGGUCAUUUUCUAAACAUGCAACACAAUAUCUCUCAAAAUCUAUAAAUCCACAAGAUCUGACUUAACAUCAUAAACGGAGUAGUACAGAACAAGUUGCAAGACGCAGGAUAUCGAUAGCUUGGUAUUGUUCCAUCCUUGAACGAGCAUGGAAUUACAGCCUCCUUCCUCUUCUACCACCCUUCCGGCGGGUGCUGUCAGUGGGGACCGGGGUAACAUCCUCUGCUCAACGCAAAAAAAAACAUCAUGGAUUAAUCCGCUGUAUGAUAUCAUAAACUAAACUGGAAAAUGUAAAAGGUUGAAAUCACGAUAACUGGCAUCCAAGGCAAAACUAAAUCAACAUUGAUCAUAACAUAAACAUAGUAUGAACAGGAAGGACAAGCAAAACAUAAGUACAUAUAAAAACCAAGCCAGCAUGUGACCAGACAAAUUCAAGAACUAUUGACUACCAGACAAAAUUAAGACAAGCCUUGCAAAUGCAAUGAAUGGCAGAAUAGUUUUUUCCCAGAAGCUAAUGAGAUGAAAUGGCACAGACACAGCAUACACAAGGGCAUCACAAGCUUACCAAUGCGUCCAAUCUUCAUGCCAGAACGUGCAAGAGCUCUAAGCGCAGCUUGAGCACCAGGACCUGGAG
rnacentral:lncRNA from 1 species